rnacentral:rRNA from 1 species
GGGUGCGUAACACGUGAGUAAUCUGCCGGGAAGUGGGGGAUAGCUCGCCGAAAGGCGAAUUAAUACCGCAUAUGACAAGGGAAGACAUCUUUCCGAAGUCAAAGUCGCAAGACGCUUCCUGAUGAGCUCGCGGCCUAUCAGCUAGUUGGUGAGGUAACGGCUCACCAAGGCAAUGACGGGUAGCUGGUCUGAGAGGACGACCAGCCACACUGGAACUGAGACACGGUCCAGACACCUACGGGUGGCAGCAGUCGAGAAUUUUUCACAAUGGGGGAAACCCUGAUGGAGCGACGCCGCGUGGAGGAUGAAGGUCUUCGGAUUGUAAACUCCUGUCAUGCGAGAACAAGAAAGUGAUAGUAUCGCAAGAGGAAGAGACGGCUAACUCUGUGCCAGCAGCCGCGGUAAUACAGAGGUCUCAAGCGUUGUUCGGAUUCAUUGGGCGUAAAGGGUGCGUAGGUGGCGUGGAAAGUUGAGUGUGAAAUCCUAGGGCUUAACCUUAGAACUGCACUCAAUACUCCCAUGCUAGAGGAAUGUAGAGGAGAGUGGAAUUCACGGUGUAGCAGUGAAAUGCGUAGAUAUCGUGAGGAAGACCAGUUGCGAAGGCGACUCUCUGGGCAUUUCCUGACACUGAGGCACGAAGGCCAGGGGAGCAAACGGGAUUAGAUACCCCGGUAGUCCUGGCAGUAAACGGUGCACGUUUG